rnacentral:rRNA from 1 species
AUUGAACGCUGGCGGAAUGCUUUACACAUGCAAGUCGAACGGUAGAGGGGGCAACCCCUUGAGAGUGGCGAACGGGUGAGUAAUAUAUCGGAACGUGCCCAGUCGUGGGGAUAACGUAGCGAAAGUUACGCUAAUACCGCAUACGAUCUAAGGAUGAAAGCGGGGGAUCGCAAGACCUCGCGCGGUUGGAGCGGCCGAUAUCAGAUUAGGUAGUUGGUGAGGUAAAGGCUCACCAAGCCAACGAUCUGUAGCUGGUCUGAGAGGACGACCAGCCACACUGGAACUGAGACACGGUCCAGACUCCUACGGGAGGCAGCAGUGGGGGAAUUUUUGGACAAUGGACGCAAGUCUGAUCCAGCCAUUCCGCGUGCAGGAUGAAGGCCCUCGGGUUGUAAACUGCUUUUGUACGGAACGAAAAGGUUUAGUCUUAAUACGAUGAGCUCAUGACGGUACCGUAAGAAUAAGCACCGGCUAACUACGUGCCAGCAGCCGCGGUAAAGU